UAACAAGGUCUCCGUUGGUGAACCAGCGGAGGGAUCAUUACCAGAGUGCCCUAGGCUCUCCAACCCAUUGUGAACUUACCAAACGUUCCCUCGGCGGGCUCAGCGCGCGGUGGCCUCCGGGCCUCCGGGCGUCCGCCGGGGAAAACCAAACCCUGAUUUAAUCGUAUUUCUCUGAGGGGCGAAAGCCCGAAAACAAAAUGAAUCAAAACUUUCAACAACGGAUCUCUUGGCUCUGGCAUCGAUGAAGAACGCAGCGAAAUGCGAUAAGUAAUGUGAAUUGCAGAAUUCAGUGAAUCAUCGAAUCUUUGAACGCACAUUGCGCCCGCCGGCACUCCGGCGGGCAUGCCUGUCCGAGCGUCAUUUCAACCCUCAGGCCCACCCUUCCGGGGGAGCGGGCCUGGUUCUGGGGAUCGGCGGCCCUCGCGGCCCCCGUCCCUCAAAUUCAGUGGCGGUCGCGCCGCAGCCUCCCCUGCGUAGUAGCACAACCUCGCACCGGAGAGCGGAACGACCACGCCGUAAAACACCCAAUUUUUUAAGGUUGACCUCGGAUCAGGUAGGAAUACCCGCUGAACUUAAGCAUAUCAAUAA
rnacentral:rRNA from 1 species